rnacentral:rRNA from 1 species
GCUACUUGUGACAUUUGCGGGUGUGGAGAUGAAAAUGAAUUUCAUGCAGUAGUUAGCUCUACUAAGAGCAGAGCACUGAGGCACAAAAUAAGAGACGAAUGGGAUUUGCCAGCUGAAAAGCAGUUUCGGAACACUGGAGAGGACUGGCUGCAGGUCCUAUUGAGCACGGUUUCAGAGGAUGUGCGUGCAAAUAUCCUGUUGCUGCUUUGGAGAUGUUGGCAUCUGCGGGAUAACUGCGUACAUGGCGACGGCAAAGAGCCGAUCAUAGCAUCUGCUACCUUUUUGUCGAGAUUGAAGAAUGAAUGGAAGAAUGCAGCAGUUACUGAACCAGCAAUCGAUGGAAAAGGAUGCGGGAUAGGGACCAAACACUGCUCAUGGGAUCAGGGGAUCUGA